AGGGGCAUCAUGUUCUAGCAUUAGAUUGAUGGCGACGGGCGCACGGGAGAGUAACACGUAUCCACCCUUCCAUUAAUUCGGGGAUAGCCUUUGGAAAGAAAGAUUAAUCCCCGAUAGUAUAGCAUUUCCUCUUGGUUUUGCUAUUAAAGAAUUUCGGUUAUUGAUGGGGAUGCGUUCCAUUAGUUUGUGGGCGGGGUAACGGCCCACCAAGACUUCGAUGGAUAGGGGUUCUGAGAGGAAGGUCCCCCACAUUGGAACUGAGACACGGUCCAAACUCCUACGGGAGGCAGCAGUGAGGAAUAUUGGUCAAUGGACGAGAGUCUGAACCAGCCAAGUAGCGUGAAGGAUGAAGGCCCUAUGGGUCGUAAACUUCUUUUAUACGGGAAUAAAGUGAACCACGUGUGGUUUUUUGUAUGUACCGUAUGAAUAAGGAUCGGCUAACUCCGUGCCAGCAGCCGCGGUAAUACGGAGGAUCCGAGCGUUAUCCGGAUUUAUUGGGUUUAAAGGGAGCGUAGGCGGGUACUUAAGUCAGUUGUGAAAGUUUACGGCUCAACCGUAAAAUUGCAGUUGAUACUGGGUGCCUUGAGUGCAGUAGAGUAAGCGGAAUUCGUGUGAGCGG
rnacentral:rRNA from 1 species